CUGCAAUCAAUUUCUUCCAGCUUUCUAAUAUCUCUCCCAUUAAGCCUUCUGAGGAGAGGAACUACACCUGUUUUAUCUUGGUAACUAGCACUUUGCACCAUGCCUGACACAGAGGAGGUGUUUUAAAACUGUCUUUCAAUGGAUUACCACAGAAAAAAGUUGCUCACCUCUAGAAGAUGCUAGAGCAGGUACAGUGGAAAGAGCAUGGACUUGGAGGGCAGACAAAGGCAUGGACUUCGUGUUGAACUGCAGGUGUGAGCUCUACAUUAUGCUGAGAUGGCUAUGUACAAGUAUAUCCAGAAUGACGGUGGAUACGUUGAAAGUCCAAUCAACUGUGCUAAAUCUUGAAUCAGUUCUCUCUGUUGCCUUUUGCAGGUUGUUUAAGUUUUGUAUAGAAGUGGAUAUUUUGAACAUUGAAACUGCACAAGGGCUUUAUGGUUGCUCUGCUCACCUCUAUUUCUUCUUCUCCUGCUAGGAAACCCCAUUAUCCUCAGAACAAGUCUCUCCACCUCCUGCUCUUGCCUGAUGCUGUAUGGCUCUGAUGGCUUGUCCUGUGUCCCCUUAGCCCAGGUGCUAAGUGGUCUCUGUUCCCUUAAAAUAACUGUUUUGGGAUGUUAUGGGUCCUGUUUUAAAAAUCCCCUCAUCCCUCUUCUUUUCUCUCUUCUAAAGGGCAGCCUUACCAUCUCCUUUUAAGAACAGAAGUCUUUUCUUUCUGCCUCUUAAAGUCAGUAGCUGGUUUGUCACCCAAUAACAAAAGCCCACAAUAUCCUGACCUCAAAGACUAGGAAGGUAGGUGGUGCUAAGGUCAGGGAUUGGGAGUCUUAGAGAGCCAGCAACACAGUGUCAUCUCUCUGAAAAGUAAAUUUCCAGUAGCUAGCAAGAGAUUUACAAAUGCUGAAAUCUCUUAGUCUACUAAUUCCUUUCAUACAAUCAAAGAUAUGUGCAAAGAUUUAUGUUCAUCAUACUGUCACUCCUCAUAGAGAAAAGCAUGGGAGUAACACCCAUGUCUGUCAGUAGGGCUUGGAUGGAUAAAGUCUAUUAUUGAGUCCUUUGCAAUCAUUCAAAAUCAUGUUUGAAUAUAAUAGAUGGGAAAAUGAUCAUACUAUAAUGCUAAUUGAAAAAAGAUAUAAAACUGUAUAUAUGUUCUCAUCUCAAAUUUUUAAAAAAUAAAAAUGUGC
rnacentral:lncRNA from 1 species